ACUGGACCGCGCUCACUCACUCGCUGAUGGGAUCACAGCAGGAUUAACGUUAUUCGCGAGACACGACGCGGUCAUGGUAAAAAAUACAGUGCAAAGGCAGAGAGUGAAGGUGUGGUGGUAUUGGCAGCAAUAAGGCUGCAAUAAUAUGGGCCUGAAAUGAAGUACCGGAACAUUAUCAGUCAUUCAAGCUAUGAUCCUGGCAGAUCUACUUCCUGAAAAGAAGACUCAGCAGAUCUUUUCAAGACACACUAGGUAGGACACAGUUCAGGACAACUUUAUAUUUACUUGGCAACAUUUUUCUGAAAUCAGCAGAAAUUACUGAAUAGUUGAUCUAGGGAUGUUCAUUUUAACCGG